rnacentral:rRNA from 1 species
AACGAACGCUGGCGGCAUGCCUAACACAUGCAAGUCGAACGAGACCUUCGGGUCUAGUGGCGCACGGGUGCGUAACGCGUGGGAAUCUGCCCUUGGGUUCGGAAUAACAGUGAGAAAUUACUGCUAAUACCGGAUGAUGUCUUCGGACCAAAGAUUUAUCGCCCAGGGAUGAGCCCGCGUAGGAUUAGCUAGUUGGUGUGGUAAUGGCCUACCAAGGCGACGAUCCUUAGCUGGUCUGUGAGGAUGAUCAGCGACACUGGGACUGAGACACGGCCCCGACUCCUACGGGAGGCAGCAGUGGGGAAUAUUGGACAACGGGCGUGAGGCUGAUCCAGCAAUGCCGCGUGAGUGAUGAAGGCCUUAGGGUUGUAAAGCUCUUUUACCCGGGAUGAUAAUGACAGUACCUGGAGAAUAAGCUCCGGCUAACUACGUG